CGGCGAAUGAUCUGUGUCC
rnacentral:siRNA from 1 species